rnacentral:tRNA from 3 species
GGGGACGUAGCUCAGUUGGUAGAGCGCUUGCAUGGCAUGCAAGAGGUCGUCGGUUCGAUCCCGUUCGUCUCCA